rnacentral:rRNA from 1 species
CGUGUAGGCGGUUGGUCAAGUCUGGUGUGAAAGCCCGGGGCUUAGCUCCGGAAGUGCGCUGGAAACUAGCCGACUUGAGCGCGAUAGAGGAGGGUGGAAUUCCUGGUGUAGCGGUGAAAUGCGUAGAUAUCAGGAGGAACACCGGCGGCGAAGGCGGCCCUCUGGAUCGUUGCUGACGCUGAGACGCGAAAGCGUGGGGAGCAAACAGGAUUAGGUACCCUGGUAGUCCACGCUGUAAACUAUGGGUACUAGGUGUUCGGGGUGUUGACCCCCUGAGUGCCGACGCUAACGCAUUAAGUACCCCGCCUGGGGACUACGGCCGCAAGGCUAAA